rnacentral:lncRNA from 1 species
GCCUGGAGAGGGACCAUAUGUUCAGACUCCAGUACCAUUCUCACAAAUUGGUCAUCAGAAAGUAAGAGGGGAGGCUGGUCUACCUUAGCCAUUGGAUGGCACUUUUUCUAGAUCUACUAUCUCUUGAGUGAAAAUAAAAGUGCCUUUGAAUUGAACUUGUAAAUGUCAACUUAAUGCCCCUUCUUUCGGUACACAUAAAGCCUCUUUAAUGCAAAUUAUCCUCUUACAGUGG